AUGGGGGAGACGGUGCUGAGCAUGGCGCGGUCCAUGCUGAACGCCGCUAUUAGCAAGGCUGCCUCUGCCGCCGCCGACGAAAUGAGCCUCCUCAUGGGUGUGAGGAAGGAUAUCUGGUUUAUCAAAGAUGAGCUAGAGACGAUGCAGGCAUUCCUGGUGGCAGCUGAAGGAAUGAAGGAGAAAGACAUGCUACUUAAGGUGUGGGCGAAGCAAGUAAGGGACAUGUCGUAUAAUAUUGAAGAUUGCCUUGGUGAAUUCAUGGUGCAUGUGGCAAGUCAAAGCUUGUCGCGAAAGCUAAUGAAGCUCAAGGACCGCCACCGAAUCGCGAUGCAAAUCCGUGAUCUCAAAUCAAGAGUUGAGGAAGUGAGUAGCAGGAACACCCGGUACAACCUUAUUGAUAAGAACCAUAUCACUAGAAACAUUGAUGAGAGGGAUUCUUGCAUGGAAGAUAUUCGCAACCAGUCAGCUAGCAACAUCGAUGAAGCCGAACUUGUGGGGUUUUCCAAUCACAAACAAGAGUUAAUAAGGCUUAUUGAUGACAACGUCAACAAUGGCCCUGUUCGGGUAGUAUGUGUCAUUGGCAUGGGUGGUUUGGGUAAGACCACUAUUACAAGGAAGGUUUAUGAAAGUACAAGAAACUUUUCAUGUUGUGCUUGGAUCACUGUCUCGCAAUCAUUUUUCAGGAUGGUGCCUCUCAAAGUUAUGAUCAAAGAACUCUUCGGUGACGACGAACUCAAGGAGCAACUUGACGGGAAGGUGGUGCGAGAAGAGAAUCUUGCUAGCUACCUCAGAGAAAAGCUACUUCAGAAGAGGUACUUUGUUGUUCUUGACGACUUAUGGAAUAUAGAUGAUUGGAAGUGGAUCAAAACUAUUGCUUUUCCAAGUAGUAACAACAAAGGUAGUCGGAUAAUGGUAACAACCAGAGAUGUUGGCUUAGCUGAGGAGUGUAUCUUGGAAUCUUCUGGAUCACUUAUCUACCACCAUCAACCAUUAGAAACAAAUGAUGCCAUAAAAUUACUAUUAAGGAAGGCGAGGAAAUGUGAGGAAGACAUGAAAAAAGAUGAGGACAUGAGGGUCAUAGUUGCUAAGAUAGUAAAAAAGUCUGGACGGUUACCUCUAGCUAUACUCACAAUAGGAGGCAUGCUUGCCACCAGAGAGGUUAGUGAGUGGAAAAGUAUAUAUAACCAGAUCCCCUUAGAACUAGAGAGCAACCGAAGCCUUGAAGCAGUGAGGAGGAUGGUUACCAUGAGUUACAACCACUUGCCCUCCCAUCUUAAGUCAUGUUUUUUGUAUUUAAGCAUAUUUCCAGAGGAUUUUGAAAUAAAAAGGAGGCGUCUGGUAGAAAGAUGGAUAGCCGAGGGCUUUGUCAUUGCUAGAGUUGGGAUGAGUGUUCAGGAUGUUGGGAAUAGUUGCUUUAAUGACCUAAUCAACCGGAGCUUGAUCCAGCCAUCAAGAGUGAACAUAGAAGGAGUUGUGAAGAGUUGUCGAGUUCAUGAUAUUGUUCGUGAUGUCAUGGUCUCAAUUUGUAGAGAUGAAAAUUUUGCAUGGUCUACAUGGGACAAUGUAACCGGAAUAACAGUGGAUAACUUUCGCCAUGUAGCAUACCAAGGCCGUUGGAGCCCAACUAAAGGCUUGGAUUGGAACCAUGUCCGAUCAUUCACUGUGUUUGGUGAGAGACCCAGGAAGCCGGCACCUUCACUAUGUUCGCCUGACUUUAGGAUGCUUAGAGUCUUAGAUCUACAUGAUGCCAGUUUUGACAUCAAACAAAAAGAUAUCAGCACCAUAGGGGCGUUGCAUCAUUUGAAAUAUGUCAUUGUUGGGUCUUCAAAUGGAAGUGAAAACUAUAUUUACAAGAUCCCAAGAACCAUAGGGAAACUACAAGGCUUGCAGAGUUUGGACAUGAGACAUGGUAAUAUAACAUCACUACCAACUGAGAUCACUAAACUACAAAGCCUUCGUAGCCUCCGUUGCAGCGGAAAUGGAGUAUGUGCGAAUUUAUACUUAGUUUGCCCAAUGAUCUGGUUCACGUCAAUAUUCUGUAUGCCUAUUCUGUUCAAUCCUUUAGCUCGUCCGAUUGAUCGUCCAUUCCUUAUGAGGGGCAUUCACAAGGCAUGGACUGGUCGCUUGUCCAAUUCUGAUGGUGUGAGGGUGCCUAGACGGAUCAGUAACCUAAAGGAGUUAGAGAUACUAGAGAUUGUGGAUGUUGAACGGACAAGUAGAAAAUCAGUUAAAGAGCUCGGGGAGCUAAUAAAGCUCAGAAAGUUGAGUGUGAGAGUUGGGGCAAGCAAGCAAAAGAGCAAGAUACUCUGUACAUCCCUUGAGAAGCUCACUUCCCUCCGCUCUCUUUGUCUCAGUGUGGAUGUUAGUACAUCUGGGAGAAGCGGUGCAUCACUUAAGUGGUUGCAGUCUAUUUCCUCACCUCCCCCUCUCCUGAAGAAGCUGAAUUUGCGUGGUGAUCUUGGGGAGAUGCCUGACUGGUUUGGGGAUCUGGAACAUUUGGUGAAGAUUGAUUUAAUGUUGAACAAUUUGAAAGAUGGAGAUAAAAGCAUGAAACUACUAGGCGCACUGCCCAAGCUCAUGCUCCUUCGUCUUUCUUGGGAUUCUUAUGUCGAGGAGAAACUAGUUUUCAGAGCAGAAACAUUCACAAAUCUGAAGAGACUUAAUAUUUCAUACAUGGAGAAAUUGACAGAGUUGGUAUUUGAGGAGGGCACCUCGCUCCUGUUGGAAAAGAUAGAAAUCAGAGGGUGCAGUUUGCCAUCGGGGAUUAGUGGUAUCAAACACCUUCCAAGACUCAAGGAGAUUGGUCUGGAAUAUACUAGAGUUGCCAGGCUUGGUGUGCUGGAAGGUGGAGUCAACACACACCCCAACCAUCCCGUGCUGCGACUUUCUGAGGAUCGACGCUUCCAUGACCUAGAAGCUACAGAGGAGUCAUCCGUUCAAGGGCCUGCAGCGGGAGAGAGCUCACAAGAUGCAGCAAUACCGACCACAAGCGACAGCGAAGAUGAUCUGCGUUGA
rnacentral:rRNA from 1 species